GAUGAACGCUGGCGGCGUGCCUAAUACAUGCAAGUCGAGCGAACAGACGAGGAGCUUGCUCCUCUGAUGUUAGCGGCGGACGGGUGAGUAACACGUGGAUAACCUACCUAUAAGACUGGGAUAACUUCGGGAAACCGGAGCUAAUACCGGAUAACAUGUUGAACCGCAUGGUUCAACAGUGAAAGACGGUCUUGCUGUCACUUAUAGAUGGAUCCGCGCCGCAUUAGCUAGUUGGUAAGGUAACGGCUUACCAAGGCAACGAUGCGUAGCCGACCUGAGAGGGUGAUCGGCCACACGGGAACUGAGACACGGUCCAGACUCCUACGGGAGGCAGCAGUAGGGAAUCUUCCGCAAUGGGCGAAAGCCUGACGGAGCAACGCCGCGUGAGUGAAGAAGGUCUUCGGAUCGUAAAACUCUGUUAUUAGGGAAGAACAAAUGUGUAAGUAACUAUGCACGUCUUGACGGUACCUAAUCAGAAAGCCACGGCUAACUACGUG
rnacentral:rRNA from 1 species